GACGAACGCUGGCGGCGUGCUUAACACAUGCAAGUCGAACGGAAAGGCCCUGCUUUUGUGGGGUGCUCUAGUGGCGACCGUGUGAGUAACCCGUUAGUAACCUGCCCUUUACUUUGGGAUAACUUCAGGAAACUUGGGCUAAUACCGGAUAGGAGCUCCUGCUUCAUGGUUUGGGUUGGAAAGUUUCGGCGGUUGGGGAUGGACUCGCGGCUUAUCAGCUUGUUGGUGGGGUAGUGGCUUACCAAGGCUUUGACGGGUAGCCGGCCUGAGAGGGUGACCGGCCAAAUUGGGACUGAGAUAAGGACCAGACUCCAACGGGAGGCAGCAGUGGGGAAUAUUGCACAAUGGGCGGAAGCCUGAUGCAGCAACGCCGCGUGCGGGAUGACGGCCUUCGGGUUGUAAACCGCUUUCGCCUGUGACGAAGCGUGAGUGACGGUAAUGGGUAAAGAAGCACCGGCUAACUACGUG
rnacentral:rRNA from 1 species